UACGUAGGGGGCAAGCGUUGUCCGGAUUUAUUGGGCGUAAAGAGCGUGUAGGCGGCUAGGUAGGUCCGUUGUGAAAACUCGAGGCUCAACCUCGAGACGCCGGUGGAAACCAUCUAGCUAGAGUCCGGAAGAGGAGAGUGGAAUUCCUGGUGUAGCGGUGAAAUGCGCAGAUAUCAGGAAGAACACCCGUGGCGAAGGCGGCUCUCUGGAACGCAACUGACGCUGAGACGCGAAAGCGUGGGGAGCAAACAGG
rnacentral:rRNA from 1 species